GCUCAGUUCGCGUAGCGCCGGUGGCGGUGGUGGUCGGUGGCUGAGGGGCUCCCGCCUCUUGUCCGCGCCUGUGUGCGGGGCGCCCGUCCCGUUUGGGUCAGCGGCGCCCGGGGCGCGUCUCUUCCUCCUUCCCUUCCCGUGCUCCUCCGCUGAGGGAUUUCUCCGCGCCCCUUGUCCGGUUGUGGGCGGGGGGGGGUCGUCUCCCCGGCCCGCGUCCCUUCCCUCCCCGCUCCCUGCCGGGGGCUUGCGGCGCUUCCUUCUGGAUGCGUCCCCGCAGCCCCGGGCGGGAGGCGGCCGGGGGGAAGCGCUGCCUCCGAGGAUUUACCGCUGACGCCGCUUGGGACUCGGACCCGCGCCGCCGCGGGGGCAGCCGGCGCCCCGCCGCUGCCGCUCCAGGCCAGCGCCGCCAUGGACGAGAAGUACCUGCCCGAGCUGAUGGCCGAGAAGGACUCUCUGGACCCGUCCUUCACCCACGCCCUGCGGCUGGUCAACCAAGAAAUUGAAAAAUUCCAAAAAGGGGAAGGAAAGGAAGAAGAAAAGUAUAUCGAUGUAGUCAUCAAUAAGAACAUGAAGCUGGGACAAAAAGUUUUGAUUCCAGUAAAACAAUUCCCAAAGUUCAACUUUGUGGGAAAGCUUUUGGGUCCACGUGGCAAUUCUCUAAAGCGUUUACAGGAAGAAACACUGACAAAAAUGUCUAUCUUGGGCAAAGGCUCUAUGAGGGACAAGACAAAGGAGGAAGAGUUGAGGAAAAGCGGAGAGGCAAAGUACUUCCACCUAAAUGAUGACCUGCAUGUUUUAAUUGAAGUAUUUGCUCCACCAGCAGAAGCAUAUGCCAGAAUGGGACAUGCGUUGGAAGAAAUCAAGAAGUUCCUCAUCCCAGACUACAACGAUGAAAUCAGACAGGCACAGCUUCAAGAAUUAACAUAUUUAAAUGGUGGCUCAGAAAAUGCAGAAGUUCCAGUAGUUCGUGGAAAAGCAUCUCUUCGAGCAAGAGGAGUACCAGUUCCUGCUUUGUCCAGCAGGCUGUGUCUGGGAACUUCACUGCUCACCCCUGCCCCCACUGCAAUGAAGUCAAAUAAGCAGCUGGUACCCUGUCCUGAGGAGGCAUUCUACAGAUUAGCCAAAACCAAGGGCCGUGGAGGAGUGCCUCCACCACCAGCAGGAGUACCGAGAGGGGCACCAGCGCCCAGAGGAGUGCCUCCCAGUAGAGGACCAGUCAGUCGUAGCCGUGGGCUUCUAGCACCCAGAGCAAGAGGAGUACCUCCACCUGCAGGCUACCGGCCCCUUCCGCCGCCUCCAGCGCAGGAGACCUAUGGUGAAUAUGAGUAUGAUGAUGGCUAUGGAACUGCUUAUGAUGAACAAAGCUAUGACUCCUAUGAUAACAGCUAUAGCACUCAAGCACAAAGUGGAGCAGAUUACUAUGACUAUGGCCAUGGACUGAGUGAAGAAACAUAUGACUCUUACGGGCAAGAAGAAUGGACCAACUCACGACACAAGGCACCUCCUGCAAGGACAACAAAAGGAGUCUACAGAGACCAGCCAUAUGCCAGAUACUGAUUGUACUGUCUGAUGUUGUGAAAUAUCCAAUCUCCACCAGUCCUGUAUACUGUUCAAAGAAACCCACCUCCUUGGACAGCCAAAAGAACAAAAACCUGAAUCUUCGGAUGCUUUGGAACUUCUGCCAUGACAAUUACGGACUGCUUAGAGCAUUAUACCUACCCAUAUGCCCAGACAAUGAUGAGAUGGGCUAUGGAGUAUGAAAAUCCUGUAUUUCUUGUAUAAAGCCUUAAAGUGUAUAACAGUGUACACUUUGUAAAAGAAUUGUAUAUUUAAACUCCUAAUUGUUUAGUGAAAGAAUUGUAUAUUUAAACUCCUAAUUGUUUAGUGAUGCAGCAGUGUAUUAUUUGGAGCUCAAUAAAGAAUUCUCAUCCAAGUUCCUGGUACAAAGCAAUAAUGCAACCUCAUGUUCCUUCAGUGACUUUUCUUUAGCCUUACGCAGCAAGUGUAAGAGAGUGUGUGAAGUCUCAUGACUAGAAUCUAAAUGCUUUGGGGAAUAGCUUGUCUAAUGUAUGAACAACGUGGAUAAGCUAAAAUGAGGAUUGAUGGUUUAUGCUGAAGCUUUUCUUAAUAGCUAACUGUAAACAGGUCUACUCAAAACAAGACUCAUGGGUAGAAAUGAUACUCUAACUUCCAUUUCCUUCAGAAACUUGUAUAACAUGAAGGUGUUUUAAUCCCUGUCAAUUAUACUCUGUUGCUUAUUCUCUUUCACUUGGUGUUUGAUGCAUAGAAAUGUUUUUUUUUUCUCUAAUAUACAGUCACAGAUUUUCUAGUAGUAGAGUCUUGGAUGAGGCUUUUACACCUUGACCAAUCUUGUAUCUUAACAGUCAUGUUCCCUCAGUGCUGCGUUUUAUAUUGUGAUUGUGAUAAUUUGUAACAAAUAAAAUUCUAAUAAUUUA